rnacentral:lncRNA from 1 species
CAGCACCCACAGUACCUGUAAACUCAACCUCCAUUGUGAUCAUCUGCUGUUGCACCUGCCGUGGCCUCUAUGUGAGCAGAGAUGUGGAGGGCAAUGUGACUGUGUGUAACUUCAAUCCCCUAUGCUGUCCCCAGUUGUCAUUGAUAUGGCCUCAGUAUGGUAACCAGGGGUGGUUUACCAAUGUGGCACUCGCAAAGGAACCCUGCAUUCCCAAGUUCAGCCUGCCACCCAGCCCGGAGUCUCUGCGUCUAGCUUCCUGCUCUCAGUGCCACCGUCUCCCAGAUAGGCGUCCCAGGCGUCCCUUGGGGUUGUGGCGGCUUGCUCUUCAUUCCUGGGUUCCCAGAGUGCCUCGGUCACUCCCACCUACCUAGUGGAUAUCUCAGGUGCCACCAAGCUAAGGCUAAGAGGUCUUUGCUGCUAUAUUCUGUGUAUUGGGUUUAGGAUUUUAAUAAAGGAAGUAAUAGAUUGAAA